rnacentral:rRNA from 1 species
UGUGAGCUCGAUGAGUAGGGCGGGACACGUGGUAUCCUGUCUGAAUAUGGGGGGACCAUCCUCCAAGGCUAAAUACUCCUGACUGACCGAUAGUGAACCAGUACCGUGAGGGAAAGGCGAAAAGAACCCCGGCGAGGGGAGUGAAAAAGAACCUGAAACCGUGUACGUACAAGCAGUGGGAGCCUCUUAAUGGGGUGACUGCGUACCUUUUGUAUAAUGGGUCAGCGACUUAUAUUCUGUAGCAAGGUUAACCGAAUAGGGGAGCCGAAGGGAAACCGAGUCUUAACUGGGCGUUAAGUUGCAGGGUAUAGACCCGAAACCCGGUGAUCUAGCCAUGGGCAGGUUGAAGGUUGGGUAACACUAACUGGAGGACCGAACCGACUAAUGUUGAAAAAUUAGCGGAUGACUUGUGGCUGGGGGUGAAAGGCCAAUCAAACCGGGAGAUAGCUGGUUCUCCCCGAAAGCUAUUUAGGUAGCGCCUCGUGAAUUCAUCUCCGGGGGUAGAGCACUGUUUCGGCAAGGGGGUCAUCCCGACUUACCAACCCGAUGCAAACUGCGAAUACCGGAGAAUGUUAUCACGGGAGACACACGGCGGGUGCUAACGUCCGUCGUGAAGAGGGAAACAACCCAGACCGCCAGCUAAGGUCCCAAAGUCAUGGUUAAGUGGGAAACGAUGUGGGAAGGCCCAGACAGCCAGGAUGUUGGCUUAGAAGCAGCCAUCAUUUAAAGAAAGCGUAAUAGCUCACUGGUCGAGUCGGCCUGCGCGGAAGAUGUAACGGGGCUAAACCAUGCACCGAAGCUGCGGCAGCGACGCUUAUGCGUUGUUGGGUAGGGGAGCGUUCUGUAAGCCUGUGAAGGUGUACUGUGAGGUAUGCUGGAGGUAUCAGAAGUGCGAAUGCUGACAUAAGUAACGAUAAAGCGGGUGAAAAGCCCGCUCGCCGGAAGACCAAGGGUUCCUGUCCAACGUUAAUCGGGGCAGGGUGAGUCGACCCCUAAGGCGAGGCCGAAAGGCGUAGUCGAUGGGAAACAGGUUAAUAUUCCUGUACUUGGUGUUACUGCGAAGGGGGGACGGAGAAGGCUAUGUUGGCCGGGCGACGGUUGUCCCGGUUUAAGCGUGUAGGCUGGUUUUCCAGGCAAAUCCGGAAAACCAAGGCUGAGGCGUGAUGACGAGGCACUACGGUGCUGAAGCAACAAAUGCCCUGCUUCCAGGAAAAGCCUCUAAGCAUCAGGUAACAUCAAAUCGUACCCCAAACCGACACAGGUGGUCAGGUAGAGAAUACCAAGGCGCUUGAGAGAACUCGGGUGAAGGAACUAGGCAAAAUGGUGCCGUAACUUCGGGAGAAGGCACGCUGAUAUGUAGGUGAAGCGACUUGCUCGUGGAGCUGAAAUCAGUCGAAGAUACCAGCUGGCUGCAACUGUUUAUUAAAAACACAGCACUGUGCAAACACGAAAGUGGACGUAUACGGUGUGACGCCUGCCCGGUGCCGGAAGGUUAAUUGAUGGGGUUAGCGGUAACGCGAAGCUCUUGAUCGAAGCCCCGGUAAACGGCGGCCGUAACUAUAACGGUCCUAAGGUAGCGAAAUUCCUUGUCGGGUAAGUUCCGACCUGCACGAAUGGCGUAAUGAUGGCCAGGCUGUCUCCACCCGAGACUCAGUGAAAUUGAACUCGCUGUGAAGAUGCAGUGUACCCGCGGCAAGACGGAAAGACCCCGUGAACCUUUACUAUAGCUUGACACUGAACAUUGAGCCUUGAUGUGUAGGAUAGGUGGGAGGCUUUGAAGUGUGGACGCCAGUCUGCAUGGAGCCGACCUUGAAAUACCACCCUUUAAUGUUUGAUGUUCUAACGUUGGCCCCUAAUCGGGGUUGCGGACAGUGUCUGGUGGGUAGUUUGACUGGGGCGGUCUCCUCCUAAAGAGUAACGGAGGAGCACGAAGGUUGGCUAAUCCUGGUCGGACAUCAGGAGGUUAGUGCAAUGGCAUAAGCCAGCUUGACUGCGAGCGUGACGGCGCGAGCAGGUGCGAAAGCAGGUCAUAGUGAUCCGGUGGUUCUGAAUGGAAGGGCCAUCGCUCAACGGAUAAAAGGUACUCCGGGGAUAACAGGCUGAUACCGCCCAAGAGUUCAUAUCGACGGCGGUGUUUGGCACCUCGAUGUCGGCUCAUCACAUCCUGGGGCUGAAGUAGGUCCCAAGGGUAUGGCUGUUCGCCAUUUAAAGUGGUACGCGAGCUGGGUUUAGAACGUCGUGAGACAGUUCGGUCCCUAUCUGCCGUGGGCGCUGGAGAACUGAGGGGGGCUGCUCCUAGUACGAGAGGACCGGAGUGGACGCAUCACUGGUGUUCGGGUUGUCAUGCCAAUGGCACUGCCCGGUAGCUAAAUGCGGAAGAGAUAAGUGCUGAAAGCAUCUAAGCACGAAACUUGCCCCGAGAUGAGUUCUCCCUGAGACUUAGAGUCUCCUGAAGGAACGUUGAAGACGACGACGUUGAUAGGCCGGGUGUGUAAGCGCAGCGAUGCGUUGAGCUAACCGGUACUAAUGAACCGUGAGGCUUAACCUU